rnacentral:lncRNA from 1 species
AAUCAUUCAAACGGGAUCCCUCUAUUUCCAUUCACUUCAGGACCUUUGGGUGGGGAUUUGGAAUCUGGUUUACUACUCUUAAUUUCGUUUACCACGUUUGGAGAUUUUUCCGAGCCAAACAUCUUGUUGUACAGGGAAAAAUUCGAAGCAUCAAUCUGACGACCAGCAUCUACCAAUUGCUGCAAAGUCGUGGUGGGCUUCCAUAGCAGGUAUUUCUUGUAGUCACCACGCAUAUUACGGGGUAUGUUAGCAUACUCUACACGUGGUUUGAACACGGCAACAGCGGUAGCGCGUAGCGCGAUUAACUGGGUGUAACACCUAGCUGUUACAAUUCCUUGGGUCGGGCGCGAGUUUCUAGGCAACUGAUCGUCGUUAGCAACCACAUAUCCUAGUUGUGUUUGGGAACCGACUUCUGUUUGUAUGGGUCCGAUAACCGAGGGUAUCUUAGCGCCAGCAACUUUCGUUGAGACGUGUCUAAGCAACUCGAUGCAAAAAGGGAUCCCAUUAAAGUUCCGUCCGAACACUAUGUCAGUUAAAUCCUGAACUUCUCCGUCGUAAGCAGCUUCGAUUCCUAAUUCGGUGUAAAUGUUACGUACUUCUGGCGCAAUGGGAAUACUCCUGGGGAUGUAUCCAAGUAAUGCGCGUGUGGGUUGAAGAGCGUGCAGGUCAGCAGCUGGAGUAAUUCCAACCGGCAGUCGCCACAUCUCGACUCCUGGAGGGUUCGCAGCUUCAUGAAGCACGGAAUAGGCGGCAACGCCUGGGGACGGUGUACUACCAUAAAUAUGGUGGGUGUCUCCAUCGACGAGGCCAAAGAAUCCGGCUAUACCAUUGACGGCGUUCUCGUUAAUUUCGGGAACGCUAACAUGCCAUUUACGAGAAUUCGGGUCUCUGACCGGACCGAUAGCUGAUAAGUACACAGCAAUAGCCUUCGGAAUACAGAUUCCAGUUGGCAUAUGUGACUUAAAGUCAAUAUAAGCGGUCAGAGGGAUCUCGUUCUGGUGAGCUCGUACAAAGUACAAUCUCUCCCAUAGCAACAUCGUACAAUAGUAGGUCCACAUUGCUUCGCUAACAUUACGAAUCCAAUAUCUAUCCUGAGACAUCAUGUCUCGGUAAAUGGAUUCCACCAGAUCAAAGUACCCGGAAUAAUUAAGACGAAGUUCCGGUACUCGUUUUAGAAACCCCAACGCCGAAAGAUCAGCGACACUGAAAGCGUCAAUGUCACACGGAUCGUUUUUUGGCGUGGUGAAGCUCGUAGAAAGAUUUUUUGGAGUAAAAUCUGGCUCUCCUUCUACGUUUGGCAUUCGACGGAUCCUAGGAUCCGCUUGACGAGAGGGCUCAUCUCGAGAGAUUGGCCCUUUGCGCGGUUUAAAGGUGAAUUUCCUUUUGGUUUUAGGCUCUGAAAACGCCGCGGAAGCGGCGGCUUUAUUAUCAAUUGGGUUUUCCAUGUUGACAAUAAGAGGCGACUAUCCAGUCUUUUCCUAAUCACGAAUGUAAAAAGGGGGGGCCAAUUGUUACUACCGAUGACGCCCACGCGUCUAUGGCAUGGACGUCCUCACGUCCCGAGCUAGCUCACCUGUAAUUCUGCCUCUCAGGGUCGGCACACGUGUUUGGGGAAUACUCACCGUAACAGACCUCGAUCGUUCUCAACCUGUAAAUCUUUCUUUCGGUUUUACAAAUUCUAAACACCAAGCUUUUCCAUUUAAAAUAUAAUCUAACUCUACUCAAUCUUUUGGGGGGGGGGGGGGGGGUUAAUUUGAUCUGAUUUUGAUUAUUCUUGGUCUAGCUCACUGCUCGAGUUACCUUGACCUUGAAGGCUGGAACCGAUGACUGCCGGAUCUUUCUGGAGCGCUUCACCCGUACCAGGGCUGGGUUUCGUUCCAAAACGUGGAACGAGGUGCUGGGCUGUGUAUAACGAAUGGCCACGGUCGUUUCGUGACGUUAUGACCGGCUCAGUGCACCUGGGAGAGACGGUUCACUUCACUACGACACUAUCUUGUUCACGUACUUGACCGGAUAACGCACUUUACGGACAGUCUAUGUAGUCGAUUCAAGACUUGCACACCGGAUUUUCACUAUAGCUGGCCCCAACGUGGCGAUAAGGGGGUCCAGUCUACUCGAAUAAUCUACCGGAUGGGUGAUAUGAUCACUAUACACACAACAGCGGUAGCGCGUAGCGCGAUUAACUGGGUGUAACACCUAGCUGUUACAAUUCCUUGGGUCGGGCGCGAGUUUCUAGGCAACUGAUCGUCGUUAGCAACCACAUAUCCUAGUUGUGUUUGGGAACCGACUUCUGUUUCUAUGGGUCCGAUAACCGAGGGUAUCUUAGCGCCAGCAACUUUCGUUGAGACGUGUCUAAGCAACUCGAUGCAAAAAGGGAUCCCAUUAAAGUUCCGUCCGAACACUAUGUCAGUUAAAUUCUGAACUUCUCCGUCGUAAGCAGCUUCGAUUCCUAAUUCGGUGUAAAUGUUACGUACUUCUGGCGUAAUGGGAAUACUCCUGGGGAUGUAUCCAAGUAAUGCGCGUGUGGGUUGAAGAGCGUGCAGGUCAGCAGCUGGAGUAAUUCCAACCGGCAGUCGCCACAUCUCGACUCCUGGAGGGUUCGCAGCUUCAUGAAGCACGGAAUAGGCGGCAACGCCUGGGGACGGUGUACUACCAUAAAUAUGGUGGGUGUCUCCAUCGACGAGGCCAAAGAAUCCGGCUAUACCAUUGACGGCGUUCUCGUUAAUUUCGGGAACGCUAACAUGCCAUUUACGAGAAUUCGGGUCUCUGACCGGACCGAUAGCUGAUAAGUACACAGCAAUAGCCUUCGGAAUACAGAUUCCAGUUGGCAUAUGUGACUUAAAGUCAAUAUAAGCGGUCAGAGGGAUCUCGUUCUGGUGA